rnacentral:rRNA from 1 species
UAACUUUGGGAAACUAAAGCUAAUACCGCAUAAGAAGAGAGAAUGGCAUCAUUUUCUUUUGAAAGACACGUCGGCAAAAGAUGGGCAUGCGUUAGAUUAGGUAGUUGGUGAGGUAACGGCUCACCAAGCCGAUGAUCUAUAGGGGUUCUGAGAGGAAGAUCCCCUACAUUGGCACUGAGAUACGGGCCAAACUCCUACGGGAGGCAGCAGUAGGGAAUAUUGGGCAAUGGAAGCAAUUCUGACCCAGCCAUGCCGCGUGCAGGAAGAAGGGGCUAUGCCUUGUAAACUGCUUUUAUCAGGGAAGAAAACGCUCUUGCGAGAGUAACUGACGGUACCUGAGGAAUAAGCACCGGCUAACUACGUGCCAGCAGCCGCGGUAAUACGUAGGGUGCAAGCGUUGUCCGGAUUUAUUGGGUUUAAAGGGUGCGUAGGCGGGAGAAUAAGUCAGCGGUGAAAGUUGUCAGCUCAACUGACAAACUGCCAUUGAUACUGUUUUUCUUGAGUAUAGCGGAGGUAGCCGGAAUGUUACAUGUAGCGGUGAAAUGCUUAGAUAUGUAACAGAACCCCGAUUGCGAAGGCAGGUUACUACACUAUAACUGACGCUGAGGCGCGAAAGUGCGGGGAUCAAACGGGAUUAGAUACCCU